rnacentral:sRNA from 1 species
ACCCUACUCUGUGCAGGCGAUUCAUCUUUUUGGUUAGGUCCUUGGAUUUAAUAGUCUUUGAGGUCUCUUCAGCUUUACAAAUGAAGAUUCUGAAUGAACUUAUUUCCAGCUAACUCUUAAUUCGUGAAUGUUUGAAAGUCAUCAAAUAGCAGAGGCUAACUGGCAGCCUGUUUCAUUAGUGAGCCUGAGAGGAGCUUCCCUGCCUUGUGUGAUUGUGUUGGGCUUUAGGAGGAUGAAUUUGGAAUGUUACGGUGUUCCUACGUCCAACUCGGCUCUGUCCUUCACCUGCGUGUGGUACUCUGUGAUCAUCACAGCAGGCAUGGCCUACAUCUUCCUGAUCCAGCUGAUCAACAUCAGCUACAAUGUGACUGAGCGGGAAGUGCAGCAGGCCCUCCGACAGAAGACUGGGCGCCGGCUCCUCUGCGGGCUCAUCGUGGACACAGGCCAGUACAAUAGGGGCUUCCUGCGGAACUGGCACCAGUUCUCCACCCUGGGCACACGUGCAUUCCACCACCCUGCCGAGGACAUUGUCUGAAGUGCCUUCUGUGUGGCUUUCUGAGGGAUGAUGGCUCCUCCUUCCGUCUCCCUUCCAUUUUACACUUCAGUGUCCAUUUCUAUCCCCAGUUUCUUAAAGGCAUUAUAGGGCCACGCUCAGGUUUAGAGACUGGAGUGGGAAGAAGUUAAUUUUUCUGAUGCCACAACUUAAGAGACUUCUAUACUGAAGCAGUAGAAGUAGAGCCAUUCCUUUCCAGUCACCUUUUUAAUUGACUCAAUUGCCUGAACUUGAGAAGGAUGUGGAUUGCUAAUGCACAAAUUGAUAGAAGCAAUUCCCAUCCAUUAGUAUGGGGGAAAGAGUUUUGGAUUAGGAUAGUUUCUAGUCCCUCUUUCGAUUCUUAAUAGCCAUGUGACCCCUAGCUGGGUCACUUUCCCCAGUCUCAGGGUCAUCUGCAAAGUGGGGUACUGAUGCCUGCCCUGGCUACCUCACAGAGUCGUCACGAGGGUCACGUGAGGGAUGAUGGAUGUGGAAAGCACUAAAAAACAACUCAAGCACCAUGGAAAUACAAAGUAUUAGGAAAAUAUUAUGAUGGAAGAAAAACGUUUAUAGGUUAGAAUAUUGAAGCCAAUAUUAUUAGGGUAAUCAGUUUUCAGCAUAUACCGUGUUGUACAGUUAUGAGAAUUUCUCCUUCUUAAGUAUUAGACAUGAACUACUCAAACAGAGAUGACGACCAGAUGGAUUGAUGCUAAGUUGUCUGAUCUUGAAAAGACAGUUGACAACAGUUAUAAAGAUAAUUAUUGUUAGUGUAAUGUACAGUGGCCAUGAGUUUCGGUGAUGAGUUCUUCUAUUUAUUUUUUAUGAAUUCUGCUUGGGUUUCUUAUAAAUAACUCCAACAGGCAUUCAUGUGUUUUUCCUCUUCCCAUGUUUCACCAGGUAAGGUGCUAGCACACUUGUGACUGUGGCUGGAAGAGGAGAACAGACACUCCUGUGGGGAUGCUUUACUCUCUUUUCUGGUAGGAAGGCUGAGUAACAUCAAGGGCUCAAUUAUUUUCUUCAUGUAUUUCAAAUGCUGUCAGUUAUAGCAUUAAAUUGUGAAAAUCAGCCUUCUGGCAUUCACAUUAUUCCAGUAUGAACUUUGAGGAGUUGAGUGACAUCUUCCCACUUAACUUGCACAUUAAUUCUCAAUUACACCCCUCCCUAAAUAACAGUAUCUCACUAGGAGAGAAGAAACAGGGUAUAUGUGGUUUCCACUAUUAAUGGAUUCCUGUUCUUCCCUGGCUCUUCCGACAAUAACAAGUUGUUUCUUUAAUCAUAGCUUAAAACCGAAAAUGUAUAAAAGAUUAAAUAUUUAUGUACAAUGGGUUGUUCUGCUAUAGAAUUAAGAUGAGGGAAUUUCAGAUGAGGAAAAUACCCUUUUGAAAUGUUGGUUUUGUACAUGUACUGUUUUGCAAUCCCAAAGAUAAUUCAUGACUCCUUAAAUUUGCCUUGGCUUAUAGCUUAAUAUAGGGAAAAUCUCGCCAGCGUUUUCAGUCAUUCUGUGCAUGCUGCUUUAAGCAAGAGAUUUGUAUUUGUUGAGAGGAAAUAUUGCUACUUCCUGCACUUCACCCUCUGCAGCCAGCACCAUCCCUACUGUUGCCAUUAAUUGGAGCCGUCCUUAAGAUGGUCACCAUAUUCUUAUUCAGGCUGCCGUCGUUUUCCCCAGAGAUGGUUUGUUUAACGAGUGAUAGGCUCUGUGCCUGGGGAUGUUAGCAAACUCUGGGGUUUGUACAGUGAUGCCUUCUCCCUGGCCCAGAGCUGAAUAUUCACCUAGAAUUAAAGUUGGAUUUGAUAUAACAAAUUUCUUUCUAUACAGGUUUUAGAUAAGAGAGAUAGUAAUAAUGUCAAGAAUAGCCUAUUGGGCAGAAAUUGGUAGUCGUGCUUUUGAAUGUCAGCUGUAGAGCCAACUCUGAUUAUCUAGCCAUUGAUGAUACAAAUUCAUAGAAACAUUAGUAUGGUCAGUAAUUUUAGCUUCUUGCCAAAUUGUUCACAACACCUAAAUGUAAUGUGAUGUGAUGAAGAUGAGUAGUACAAAGAGACCAAAGUCAUUUGGGAGAAUUAGGAAUGAUGACAAUUUUUUUUAACAACUUACCUCUAAUAGGGUUACUUGGAUGAGCCAACUCAGCUUCCUUCCCAUGGAUAGGAAGGGACUCUGUAUAUUAUUCAGGUUUAUUGGCACGAAGAUACUUAAGUUCCUUGAGAAUCCAUGAUGGACAGUUUACAGAAUGCUUAAACCUGUCAAAAGAUCAGUGAUUUUGUGUGGGAAAAGCCUUCCCAGGCGUCUGUACCGAAAGGAGCAGCAAACAAGGGGCUAAUCCAUGAGCAGUGUUCUGUACGCUCUGUGACAUCUUUGGUUUAUAGGAUAUUGGAGCCUUUUAUGAUCUGGAACUAUUUGAGGGGUUUCAUUAUAGGCCUUGGUUCUCUCCAGAGGCCAGAUGAGUUUAUUGUGGAAUCUUUGAAAGGACAAGGCCUCUGUGAAUGAAUCAGUCCCAGGGAAGCAUUUGGUGGUGGCGGCAGUGGAGGAUUGCCCUGUGAACCUAUAAAUCAGCAGUCUCUUGGGCAGAGGAGCAAGCCCCUCGGACAUGAUUUCAAACAAGCAGGUCCUCUUCUCUCAUCUCACGUCUUCAAUCUCUGUUAAUGAACGUACUGGAUGUGGAGUUUAAUAAAUUACCUACUGUCAUCUGGCCACUUAGAUUAUUAUCACACCACUGUAGACUGUUCCUGGGGGGAGAAGAAUAGACCGAUUUGAAAGAUUCAAGGGAGAAAGAGUUAAGGAUCAGGACUGCAUAAAAGAGGAAAAUCCUUCAAUACUUACAAUGUUUCUUACGAUACCCACAGAGUACUUUUAUGGUUCCAGCCGAGCGUUCCUGAAAUGAACUGACCAUUAACAGCGCCUCUUUGAUAGGUUACCCUGAUGCUGCUAAAGUAAAGCCUUAAGUGUGUUUUUGGGACAACGUGCUGCUUAUUUCACCUCAGCCGCAUAUGUGUUUGUGUUUAGGAUAUUGUAAAUCUUUGCUAAGUAGUGUUUUCCUUGGUGAAUGAAGUCAUUGUUGUCUUCAAGUGUACCAUCUGCCUAGCAAAAAAUUGCUACAAACUUUCUCUUAUGCAAUCAAUAGUCCUUGGUACUUCUAAUAUUUUUAGCAAGAGACAGUUUUCUGUACUAGAAUCUUCCACUGCCAGAAAACACAGUGCCAGUAAGGUUCUACAUACCACUGACCAUCUGCUUAAUAGACAUGUAUUUCCUUUGAGUAGGACAUUAGCUUUUUAUUAUAAAGCUCAACUAGUAUAAGCAAAAAUAUAACAUCUAGAAGCACAGUUUUAGCCAGGAUGUUUAAAAAUUACAGUUUUGUGAGACUUAAGGGUCUUUUUAACCUAGGUAAGUUUAUAUGACCUAACUUCAUUGUAGCCAUAUUCUGGUACCUUCCAUUUUGAAAAGUAGAGGUUUCUUAAGCAAGCAAUGGAUAAUAAGAGACUUUUCCUGAGGCACCUGUUUGGAAUCUGGUUUUCUCAGCGGCAGCUUGACACGUGCACCCUUUUGUAUUAAACACUGCAAAGGUGAUGCAGGGGAGCAGGAAAGCCAUGCUGAACUCACUACUGAGUACAAUUCAGUAUGUUCCUGUGGAUGUUUGCUGUGACUAAUAUAAAUUUCUUGCAGAAUCAGCUACACUUAAUUAUGUUGCUGAUAGACAAGCAUCCACGCUUCAGCUGGCACUAAGUGUUUUCACUGUAGGAUCAGCAGCAGGUUAAAGACAGAACGGUUAGUGGAGACAAAUGUCUUAGAGGCUGCACGAUGUCUAGGUUGGGCUUGUGACUUAUUAGUGGCCUAGCCUUCUUGAUGGCACCUUGAAAGUGAACUUCUAGAAAUUUACAUUUAAAAGGCAAAGCUUUAAAAGCAGAGCUAGUCUAUUCUAGUUAUUGAUGCAGCUAAAAUUCUGUAUUUCUUAAGAUGGAGCCACUGACGAGAUGUCACAUUAUAGAGCCUGCAAUCUCAACUCAUUGUGAUCCUAAUGGUCUGGGUGAUUGGAUGGUUUGAGUUGUUAGGGAUUUUGAGUUUUUCAUUUUAUUGCGUAUCUGGGUUGGAUGUUAGACUAAAGGAAACCCAGGAAUAUUUACCUGGUGUUACAUUUAAUAUUUAAUGUGACUGGUCUAGCAACAUUAAGGGGGAUUUCUGAAGCCAACUCCGGAGGCUGUGGGCUGCACAUUUUGCACUGUUUUUAUAUACUUGUAUUCAUAUCCUCUUAUCACCUCAGACUCAGACACAAGGCCUUUUACAUGGAAAUUUUACAAAUUACUGCCAUUUAUGUAAAAUAAUGUCCUGUGACCAAGUUGUUUAAAUGGAAAAUAAAGUGCUUUCUUUAAGGAAAAUAGCUGGUGUUUCUUGGAGUGUCUCCUGAAGUCUUCUGAUUUCCGAAAACCCUGCAUUAUACCUGUGCUGCCUCUGUGGCUCCCUCGAUGUCCCUGUCCUGCGGCCCUGUCCCUAGCCCUAAACUGUUAAGUUCCCGGUGGCAAUUUCUCCAGUUUUGUGGGUCAGGGAUACUGCUUGUUGGGGCAUUAUGUUAACAGUAACAUUUUGAAACAUACCUUCAUGAUAGUCCAGCAAAAAACAGCAUCAAAACUAUUUCCAUUGUAUCUCUUGAGAAGGCUCUGUAUUUGGUAAAAAGUCUAGCUGGUUCCAUUGGAAUGUGGGCUGCUAAAGACUCAAUUUCUAGUUGAUGUUUGAGGUGAGGCAAAAAUAAAGCUAAGAUAG